rnacentral:lncRNA from 1 species
GUUUUGGUGUCUGGGAGCAUUUUCCUGGGAGAGGGAAGGGGUAAGGAGGCGAGGGAGGUGGGUCAUCUACAAUCAUCCCUUUACCCAGCUGGCUGGAAUUGCUGUAUAGGAAUUAAAAUCAACAAAGGAAGUCAUUGUGAAAAUACGCAUAGACGUGAGCUCUGGACAGAACAGGUUCAGGAAACGGAGGAGAUCCCCAGGAAGUCUUCCAAGCACAAAGAGGAGGAAAUGGAAAGUAUGAAAGUACGGAUGCAGGAACCUGUGAUUAAAGCAGAAAUGAAAGAAUGAAUAAGGGAACUAUAGUUCUGCAAACAAGAAAGGAAGGAGGAGGGAAUAAGACCAGCUCUCUUUGCAAGUCCUUCCUUCAUCAAGCCAUAGGAAGGAGGGAGCGGAUGGCACAGGAGCUCUGAAGAACAAAACACGGCAAGUCACAACCAAAUCACUAUUGAGAUAAUGAGAGGUUAAUAAGAGCAAUUUCCAGAUCUGUCAGCAAACGUGGGUGUGACUAAGACUGGUACACAAUUUGGGGGUCCAUGUAAGAUGCUACUGCUGGAAGGGGAAAUGGGGAUUUUAAAGCAGAAACAUUGCCCAGGGACACAGAAGCCCUGGAAGGGGACUACUGCUUCCAGAAUGGUUAAGUUCAUUGAAGAAUUUUCCACUAGCAAUUGACUCAUCAUUCACAGAGGGAGAGAGCUGGAGACAGAGCAAAGGCUGGCCACGCUGGCAGUGGUAGGUAUGACCCUACACUCACCUGCUGGGGUCAGCUUCCCUGUCUGCUUCCCUUACAGCUGGGAAAUCCAGUUCCCCUGUCCAUACCAUCUUAUAUCUGCAAGGACUUUAAUUUGACACCAGGGCUGGUGUUUGAACGGCAUUACUGUUAGUGGAGGGAGCUGACGGAAUGACUCAAGGCACAAGUAUAUCAUCUGAAGAAGACUAGAGCCUCAUUGCCUUAAAAGAAUCAGCAACAAGUGAAAAGUGACAGUGGCUGACCACGUGUCCUUGGACAAGGGUUUCUGGCUGUUCCUUUGUUUGCCCGUGGUGGCCAGCAUGUUUGCAGUUGGGAGGAUUCUUCACCAGUCUAACACAUGCCUCAGUUUUCUAGGCUGGCACUGCACAGAGAUGGAACCUGAUGAAACGGCCCCAUUUGAGCGCCUGCUGUAUCGCGUUGGCUCUGCUUCCUGCAGCUGUGCUCCAAGAUGAGCCUUUCAGACAUCGCUCCCUAAUAGCUCCAUCUCCCCCAAUCCAGGAGGAUGCGCAUUCCUCUCCUCAUUCACAUGCCCCACUUCAAGCCAUCUGCACACUCUACAGGGGACUUGCCGCCUAACAUCCUAAUGUGCAACCCCAUCCAAAUCCUCUGCUGGAAUCUCACUAUUUGCACCACUUACGCUCUUGGAGCGUGAAACAGAAGGGCCAGUCCUCUUGUCUCUUUAUUCUAAGUGUUUAAUACAGAUUCCAUGGACUUGGUCCAUAACAAUAUGAGUGUGGUCUUACAUCAGUCCUUUUACUAAUUUCUCAUCAUCUCCCUCAUCCUUGUCCUUUAGUGAUUGUUCCAGACCUUCUC